UGGUGGAGUGAUUUGUCUGGUUAAUUCCGAUAACGAACGAGACCUUAACCUGCUAACUAGUUGAUUGAACGCAAGUUCAAGGCAACUUCUUAGAGGGACUAUCUGUGACUAACAGAUGGAAGUUUGAGGCAAUAACA
rnacentral:rRNA from 1 species